GGUUUUAUGGUGUAACUGGUAGCACGUACAGCUAAGCAGAAUAUGCUGUGAGAUCCAGGUUCAAGUCCUGAUGAAGCCC